UAGGAUAUAGUGUAAUGGAUAGCGCAAAGAUUUUUGAAUUCUUAGGUUUAGGUUCAAGUCCUAUAAUUCUAG
rnacentral:tRNA from 1 species